CAAAGUUAGAAAAAAAGGCAGUGUUUCAAGUCAAUCGUCGCUCGUCGCUAUCUAGCAAAGCUUUAUUCAACUGUUCCUCCUUGCAUGCGCUGUCUUUCAUUCAAAUUAAGAGGUGUGGCAGGCACCAAGGACGACGACCACAACAACAACAAUUUUGGGAAAUAUACUUUUACUUUUUACCAUUAUAAAAGACCUGGGUGCAAGCAACUACGGUGAUCUUGAGUCCAUUUGAUUGCUGCUCGGAGUUUAUUGGAUGCCAAUUGACCUCAUCCCCUAAAUACUCGAAUUUGACUAAAUUAGAUAAUUGUUUUUUGGUGUUACUAUUGUAAUUAUAUUUUUUAAAAAUUUGGGGUAUGAUUAAAAUUUUUAAAA